GGUUUUAUAUUCAAACAAAUGAUUUUAGAUUGCAAAUCUAAAGGUACCCAUAGGUUAAAACCU
rnacentral:tRNA from 1 species